AUGCAAAACAACACUGCAAAGUCUUUCGAUGGAUUUAGAUGCAAUGUUUCUCUCUUCAGGACUGGUCCUUCAAGAUAUCAGGAUGCCCCCAGGUACCCCCCAAACCUACCGAUAGAGCAAAAUAGUGGAGAUGAGAGAUGUAAGAACAGCACAAAGGAUCAGAUCAUUCUGCCUGAACAGAGACAAAUACCAAAAGGCAAAGGGAUAUUCUAUUUCUUUUUUGUCUCCCCUCAAAAGAGGACAGGUUAGCAGACUAAAAAUUGUAGACAUUUCUGGAUUUAUUUCUAAGAUGCAAAGUUAGAUCUGAUUUUUAUACAAGCAUCAACACGUCCCUUCUGAGUUUCAGAAGGUUUCAACACUCUUUAAAAAAGGUAACCAAAGCCAAGGAGUGACCCAGACCUAUACCUGACAUGGUGAGAGCUGAAAGCAGUGAAGUAUGGCUCCCGCAGAGAGAACCAGUAAGUUACGCUUCUGAAGGUAGAGAUGGAUUCUUCCUCCUUUAAAGAAUUUAUAGCCCUUUCUUUUUUCAAGUUUUCCAGGCAGCUGUGACUCUACAGCAUUGCAGACCUCUAUACAUUACACCAAAUUACACCAGCUAAAGUGAAAGAGAAACAAUGGAGAAAUUUGUCUGGCACAGUAGAAGAUGGCAACACUGUGGAUACAAUAUCCUGCAAUGCCGUGGAGAGGCUGCUAACUGUUCUUUGGAUUUAUUUUUUUUUCUUGAGGAUUACAGCUAAGUUUACUGCCCAUUUUCCCAACAACUCACAUUUACCGAAUACUGUAAAUCCCAAGAGUAAUUUCCCAGAUAAAUAAGUGUUAAUUACAAAAACCAAACAAACGCGGUUCAGUCCCGUUACCACUCCCUCCAUCGUCACACCGUCCUGUGCCUAUUGACCUUGCAGGGCAGGGUGCUCACCGAGCAGCUGGCUGCAGCGGCCGGGGUGCCAGCCCUGGCCUGAAGGAUGCACAGCAGGCACGUCCCAGCAGGAAGGAAAGGGUUACGGCAUUAUGGAUGUGGGUUGCUGGGCUUUCCUCCAGACUCCUGCAUUACCUUGGGCAAGUUGUUUAGCCCGUGUCCCGGGGGCCCAAGCUAAAAGCAAAGAGUUGGUAAUCCUUCUCAGCAACUGUGUUUCUCCUGGCUUUUAAAAGAGUCCCUCAGGCCGGGGAUUUUUCUUACCAGUGCAUGUUCCAGCCGUGAUCCCAACAGGGAGCACAAGGACUGUGUGGCUGUCUCCCCGGCAGCAGAUAG
rnacentral:lncRNA from 1 species